rnacentral:rRNA from 1 species
GCAAGUCGAGCGAAUGGAUUAAGAGCUUGCUCUUAUGAAGUUAGCGGCGGCCGGGUGAGUAACACGUGGGUAACCUGCCCAUAAGACUGGGAUAACUCCGGGAAACCGGGGCUAAUACCGGAUAACAUUUUGAACCGCAUGGUUCGAAAUUGAAAGGCGGCUUCGGCUGUCACUUAUGGAUGGACCCGCGUCGCAUUAGCUAGUUGGUGAGGUAACGGCUCACCAAGGCAACGAUGCGUAGCCGACCUGAGAGGGUGAUCGGCCACACUGGGACUGAGACACGGCCCAGACUCCUACGGGAGGCAGCAGUAGGGAAUCUUCCGCAAUGGACGAAAGUCUGACGGAGCAACGCCGCGUGAGUGAUGAAGGCUUUCGGGUCGUAAAACUCUGUUGUUAGGGAAGAACAAGUGCUAGUUGAAUAAGCUGGCACCUUGACGGUACCUAACCAGAAAGCCACGGCUAACUACGUGCCAGCAGCCGCGGUAAUACGUAGGUGGCAAGCGUUAUCCGGAAUUAUUGGGCGUAAAGCGCGCGCAGGUGGUUUCUUAAGUCUGAUGUGAAAGCCCACGGCUCAACCGUGGAGGGUCAUUGGAAACUGGGAGACUUGAGUGCAGAAGAGGAAAGUGGAAUUCCAUGUGUAGCGGUGAAAUG